GAAAAUCAUCAGAUGUUACAUUAUCACGAGAAGAGUACCAUCUGACUCCACUAGAUGGGAACCUUCAAAGCAGAACCAUGCUCUUGAAUGGAAAACCAUUACAACUCGCAGAAAAUGGGAACAUCCCAAGUUUGUCUCCAGUCCUUGUAAAGCUGAAGUCUCCAAUAUCAAUUUCCCCCUUGUCCAUCAAAUUCAUAGUAUUCCCCUACUUAAGCUCUCCUGUUUGUACAUAGAAUUAGGAAAUACUUUUGUCUGAUAGUUAUCAUCUGGC
rnacentral:misc_RNA from 1 species